rnacentral:rRNA from 1 species
AAUUUUCGGCAAUGGGGGCAACCCUGACCGAGCGACGCCGCGUGAGUGAAGAAGGUCUUCGGAUUGUAAAACUCUGUCAUUGGGGAAGAAUAAAUGACGGUACCCAAUGAGGAAGCCCCGGCUAACUACGUGCCAGCAGCCGCGGUAAUACGUAGGGGGCGAGCGUUGUCCGGAAUUACUGGGCGUAAAGGGUACGUAGGCGGCUAUAUAAGUCAGGUGUGAAAUACCAGUGCUUAACACUGGAAUUGCAUUUGAAACUGUGUAGCUUGAGUGCAGGAGAGGAAAGUGGAAUUCCUAGUGUAGCGGUGAAAUGCGUAGAUAUUGGGAGGAACACCAGUGGCGAAGGCGGCUUUCUGGACUGCACCUGACGCUGAGGCGCGAAAGCCAGGGUAGCGAACG